rnacentral:rRNA from 1 species
GUGAACGCUGGCGGUAGACCUAACACAUGCAAGUCGAACGGCAGCACAGUAAGAGCUUGCUCUUACGGGUGGCGAGUGGCGGACGGGUGAGGAAUACAUCGGAAUCUACUUUUUCGUGGGGGAUAACGUAGGGAAACUUACGCUAAUACCGCAUACGACCUACGGGUGAAAGCAGGGGAUCUUCGGACCUUGCGCGAUUGAAUGAGCCGAUGUCGGAUUAGCUAGUUGGCGGGGUAAAGGCCCACCAAGGCGACGAUCCGUAGCUGGCCUGAGAGGAUGAUCAGCCACACUGGAACUGAGACACGGUCCAGACUCCUACGGGAGGCAGCAGUGGGGAAUAUUGGACAAUGGGCGCAAGCCUGAUCCAGCCAUACCGCGUGGGUGAAGAAGGCCUUCGGGUUGUAAAGCCCUUUUGUUGGGAAAGAAAAGCAGCAGGUUAAUACCCCGCUGUUCUGACGGUACCCAAAGAAUAAGCACCGGCUAACUUCGUG